AGUCAGAAGAGGAGGCGGCUCUUCCAGGUCAAGCUUGCAAGCUCCUUUCUGUAACUCAGCGAUCAUGAGAGUUUCUGUGUGAUGUGUUCUGCGUGAUUCUACUGGGUGUUGUGAGAGAAGGUUAGUCAAGCUCAGAACUCCAAACGUGUGUCUUCGCUGGAUGCUGUGAAUUUAGCUCAAGCAAGCUCAGAACUUCACACAUGGAUUUAGUCACCUAUGAUGACGUGCAUGUGAACUUCACUCAGGAUGAGUGGGCUUUGCUGGAUCCUUCUCAGAAGAGUCUCUACAAGGGUGUGAUGCUAGAGACCUAUAAGAAUCUCACAGCUAUAGGUUACAUUUGGGAAGAACAUACGAUUGAAGACCAUUUUCAAACUUCUAGAAGUCAUGGAAGGUAAUUUUACUCUGCAAGCUGAGGAGAAAAUGCCUAUGAAGAAAGUUUAACUUGUGCUACAAGUAGUAAAGAAAACCAAUAGGGUACAAUAAGCACUGCUUUCAGUGAUGGAUGUUUACUGACUUUCAUAAAAAUCAUAUAUGUUUAUGGCAGAUAUGUAACUGUUGUUUGCAAGACAUUCCAUUAGGUCAAAGACAGAGAAAUAAUGGCUUAACACAUAUGUUACUGUUUAAAUCAAGCCUAGUACAGCCAUGCUAUACAAGUGUGAGUGUCUUCAGUCUCAUAUCGCUUAGCUAUUGCAAAAGGAACACACAGUGAUUAGGUGACAAGUAUAUGUCUAAAACCUAGUAAUGAGCAAAUAAUCCAUAGUGUAUCUGAGCUCAAUGAUAUACUUGUAAUAACAUUGCUAAAUUUAGUGAGAUGAACAGUUCAUAAGAUUCAAAAAUGGUUUUGUGGAAAAACCUUAAUCUCUGUACCACAUCUCUGUGACAAAAAAAAGUCAGCUGUGAAUGUAAUGUGGAAUUUUCACUUGUUAUUCUUCUUUUGAUGUGGAUGUCAUAGGUUACGAUUGAUACAAGCCUUGUGAUCACUGGGGCAUUGAAAGAAGCCACAUACCUUUCACUUUUCCAGAACAAUUAGAGGAUAUGCAGUAUAACAUAUUUUGAACAACAUACUAAAUGUGCUAUAUAAGUUUAUAAAAAAUUUGUUUCCGAACAUUGCUGGGGACAUUUACCAACUCUAACUGCUGAAAAUAGUAAUGAGAAUUAAGGCAGUAGAAUUUUUUUUUUCUUUUGCAUUUGUUCAUAUUCCAAAUGUAGUAUUACUCUCAUGAUAACAAAAUUUGUGAAUGCAAUAAUUGUGCAAACACUGUGAGUUCUUCCUGUUUUUUUUCAAAUAUGUGAGUAACCUUUUAUAGAAAAAGUAUGUUAUAAAUGUGAGCCAGAUAAUCAAUACUGUUCCCAUUUCAUAUAUCCUCGAAGAUGUAAAACAAUUCAUAAUUUAGUAGAACUCCUUUGAAUAUAAACAAAGUAAUAUUAUGUUAACAUUAGAUUGCUCUGUUCAAUGAAACCAAAAUUUAAAACAAUUCAUACAGAUAAAAAGACUCAUCAGUAUAAUCAGUGUAAGAAAGAUUUCACGUGUGCAAAUUUUAUUUGCAGGCAUGAAAGAAGUUGUUCUGCAGAGCAACCCUCUGAGUUUAUUCAAUGUGGUAAAGCCUUUGCAUAUGAGAGUGGUAGACAAAGGCAUCAAAUUAAACAUAAUGGAGAGAAACACCAUGACUGUAACCAAUGUGGUAAGGACUUUAGAACAUGGAAUGUCCUGCAAAUACAUAAGCGAACACAUACAGGAGAGAAACCCUAUGACUGUAAACAAUGUGGUAAAGUCUUUGCAAGAAGCUGUCAUCUCCAAAUACAUAAUCGAACACAUGCAGGAGAGAAACAGUAUGAAUGUAACCAAUGUGGUAAAGCUUUUAAAAGAAGGAUUAACCUCCAAAUACAUAAGCGAACACAUACAGGAGAGAAACCCUAUGAAUGUAACCAAUGUGGAAAAGCCUUUGCAAGUAGUGGUGAACUCCAAAAACAUAAACGAACACAUACAGGAGAGAAACCCUAUGAAUGUAAACAAUGUGGUAAAGCCUUUUCACAAAGCAGUCAUCUCCGAAUACAUAAGCGAACACAUACAGGAGAGAAACCCUAUGAAUGUAACCAAUGUGGAAAAGCCUUUGCAAGAAGUGGUGACCUCCAAAAACAUAAACGAACACAUACAGGAGAGAAACCCUAUGAAUGUAAACAAUGUGGUAAAGCCUUUGCACAUAGCAGUCAUCUCCACAAACAUGAGCGAACACAUACAGGAGACAAACCCUAUGAAUGUAAACAGUGUGGUAAAGCCUUUGCAGUAAUCUAUACUCUCCAAAUGCAUAAGCGAACACAUACAGGAGACAAACCCUAUGAAUGUAAACAAUGUGGUAAAGCCUUUGCAGUAAUCUAUACUCUCCAAAUGCAUAAGCGAACACAUACAGGAGAGAAACCCUAUAAAUGUAAACAAUGUGGUAAAGCCUUUGCAAGAAGCUGUCAUCUCCGAAUACAUAAGCGAACACAUACAGGAGAGAAACCCUAUGAAUGUAACCAAUGUGGUAAAGCCUUUGCAGAAAGCAGUACUCUCCAAAUCCAUAACCGAACACAUACAGGAGAGAAACCCUAUGAAUGUAACCAAUGUGGUAAAGCUUUUAUAACAAGGAGAGUCCUCCAAAUACAUAAGCGAACACAUACCGGAGAGAAACCCUAUGAAUGUAACCAAUGUGGAAAAGCUUUUGCAAGAAGUUGUGACCUCCAAAAACAUAAACGAACUCAUACAGGAGAGAAACCCUAUGAAUGUAACCACUGUGGUAAAGCCUUUGCACAAAGCAGUUCUCUCCGAAUCCAUAAGCGAACAUAUACAGGAGAGAGACAAUAUGAAUGUAACUAGUAUGGUAAAGCCUUUGCAGGAAGCAGUGGUCUCCAAUGCCAUAAAAGAUCACAUACACGAAAGACACCAUAUGAAUGAAACCAAGGUGGUAAAUCCUUUGAAGGAAGCAGUGGUCUUGAAUAUCAUAAUCGAACACACACAGCUGAAAAACCCAGGAAUGUAACCAAUGUGGUAAAGUCUUUGCAGAAAGGAGUGACCUUUAAAGAGAAAAGACCAUACAGGAGAGAAACUCUAUGUAGGUAUCUGAUGUUAUAAAGCCUUUGCAGCAAGCAUUGAUCUCCAAGUACAUAAAUGAACAUAUACCAGAGAGGAACCUUUUAAACGUAACCAAUGUGUUUAACCUUUUUCGAAAACCAAUAGUCUUUACACACAUAAAAGCACAUAUAGUUGAGAGAAAUGCUUUGAUUUUAACCAAUGUGGUUAAACUUUUUCAAAAAGCAGUCAUCAACAAAAUCAUGAAAGAGCACGUAUAGGAGAGAGAUUUUUGAAUGUUAGCAAUGGUGCUUUUAUAGCUUUUUCACAAAGCAGUGGCCUCCAAAUAUAUAAAGGAACACAUACAGGAGAGAAACCCUAUGAAUAUUGGCAAUGUUUUAAAACACUUCUACAUCACAAUCAUCUUCAAAUCUGUAAGGAACAUGAGGUUUUGAGAAAUCCUCUGAAUAACACCAAUUAGGGAAAGCAAUUGUACAAAAGAGUCAUCUCCCAACACAAAAGUAUACACACUAGAUAGAAACCCUAUGAAUAUAGGCAAUGUGGUAAACAUUUUAUAAGUCACAGUAGUCUCUAAGUAAAUAAAAAGAGACACAGUUGAGAAAAACACUAUGAAAUGAACAAGUGAACAGAGCCUUGUGCAUUAAAAUCUUCAAAUACAUAAAAGAAGACAUAGAGGUGAGAAAUCCGAUGUCUACAAGCCAUGUGGUAUUGCUUUCACUUGUCAGUCAUAUUCAAAGACACAAAAGAAAACAAAAUGUAACAAAAGGCUGAGUGUGUUUAAUAUGGUGAAACUUUUUGAAUAUUUUAGAGUCUUCACAAUGAAACAAUUCAUACUGCAAAUAAAUUUAGGAAUAUAAUAUGGUGAAACCUUUUCAGAUUUCCCAAAUCUUCAUCAUUAUGAAUGGGAAACCCAUAAAUGCAUUCAAUAUGGGGAAGCCUUUAAACAUUUCUAAUUCUUUAUAAUCCUGAAAAUAAUCAUACAAAGUUCAAGGGGAUACAAGAAAUGUUUCUUAUUGUCUUGCUUGAGUUACAGUCCUGACAUCCUUUGGUAUGAAUAUCAAUGUGGAAAUUGUGAGUGGAUUCCCUUUCCUCCCCAACUGCUUCUUGGUCAUAAUGUUUAUGCAGGAAUAGAAACCCUGACUAAGACAAAUUGGUAUCAGGAGUGGGGAAUUCCUGUGACAACCUGACCAUGUUUUGGGAGGACUGUGGAAGGACUUUGGAACUUUGGGUUAGAAGAUCCAUUCUGUGUUAAGAACGCUGUGGGAUGUUGUGUAGGAGCUUGGAAGAUAAUGUUGAGAAUCGUGCAGAAGAUGGAAGCCUGGCUUGUGAAAUUUCAGAGGGAAAAUUAAAGCCUCUUUUCAGGGCCAUUGUUACUUUGUGAAGAUUCUGUGGUUCUGGUUAACUGGGGCUGAAGAAUCAGCUGUGAUUAACAAGAUAAUAGAAUUUCUAGAGUGAAAACUUUGCAUUACUGGGACUGUUGAUGCUGGUUAGCUGGAGCUAAGAAAUUAGCAGUGAUUAAGAAGAAACCAGCAUUAUUGAAGUGGCAUCAUCUGUGAAGUGUUUUCUGAGAGCACAGAGGAAGUGUUCUAGAGAUAAUCAAGGUGGUACCUUGUGCUGUGGCUGGACUUGGUAGUGUGUAAGUCUUACCCUCGUGGUACUGGUUUUGAAGGCAUGAAGGGAUAAUGCAGAUCAGCUAAGGCCCAGCAGUUUGAGAGGCCAUGGAAGGCCACUGGUGAAGGUGCAGACUCAGGUGAAAUUGAUGGCCCAGUACUGAAGAGAUCAUGCAGUGUGUUGGAGUUGACAGGUCCAUGAUUGACCACGAAGAACAGCAGCAGCAGUAAAGUACAUGCAUCUGGAGCAUAGAGGACAAGUUGUGUGCUACAAAGGACAGGGUUGGAAAAGUGACCCAAGCCCUUGGUUCUUUUGGAGUUGUCCAAAAGAUUGUGAGUUGGAUCCCAGACAUUGGACAGUUGGAGUUUAAUUUUUACUUUUGAUUGUGACUGUGCCCUGAUGUUUUUCCCUCUUGAAGGAAACAAGUAUUUUAGUGGAUUCCAUUGUAAAAGGCUUUGGAUUUUGAAGGAUAUUGGAUAUUUUAAAAGCAUUGAACUUUUAAUAUGUAAAGUCUGUGGGGCUUUCAAAGUUGUGUAUAUCUUGGGCAUGAAUAAGAAACUAAGAGUUGAGCAUUACUAGUGAUGUGUUUGCGUGUCAAAUUGACAAGGUGUCAAUUAUACUGGCUAAUUUUGUGUCAACUUGACACAAGCUGAAGUUAUCACAGAGAAAGGAGCUUCAGUUGGGAAAUGCCUCCAUGAGAUCCAGAUGUAAGACAUUUUCUCAAUUAGUGAUCAAGGGGAAAGGCCCCUUGUGGGUGGGACCAUCUCUCUGCACUGGUAGUCUUGGGUUCUCUAAGACAGCAGUCUGAGCAAGCCAGGUGAAGCAAGCUAGUAAAGAAACAUCCUUCUGUGGCCUCUGCAUCAGUUCCUGCUUCUUGACCUGCUUGAGUUCCAGUCCCGACUUCCUUGGUGAUGAACAGUAAGCAGUAUGAAAGUGUAAGCCAAAUAAACCCUUUCCUCCCC